rnacentral:rRNA from 1 species
GACGUAGGAUGCAAGCGUUGUCCGGAUUCAUUGGGCGUAAAGAGUUCGUAGGCGGUGAUCUAAGUCUGAUGUUAAAUCCCGAAGCUCAACUUCGGCAUGGCAUUGGAAACUGGAUUGCUAGAGUGCAGUAGAGGUAACUGGAAUUCUCGGUGUAGCGGUGAAAUGCGUAGAUAUCGGGAGGAACACCAGUGGCGAAAGCGAGUUACUGGACUGCAACUGACGCUGAGGAACGAAAGCCAGGGUAGCAAAAGGG